ACGGAGGAUGCGAGCGUUAUCCGGAUUUAUUGGGUUUAAAGGGUGCGUAGGCGGAGCGUCAAGUCAGCGGUAAAAAUUCGGGGCUCAACCCCGUCGUGCCGUUGAAACUGACGCCCUUGAGUGAGCGAGAAGUAAGCGGAAUGCGUGGUGUAGCGGUGAAAUGCAUAGAUAUCACGCAGAACGCCGAUUGCGAAGGCAGCUUACCGGCGCUCAACUGACGCUGAGGCACGAAAGUGCGGGUAUCGAACAG
rnacentral:rRNA from 1 species